CUGGCAGCCUGAUGCAGUUGUCCCUUGAGGAACACAAUAAGCCUGAAUCUGGGAACAAUGGGACCAAAAGCUGCAGACUGGAACCAAAACCUUGGCCUUGGUGAAGGGCCAUUAUUGUGGUAACAUUUAAGAAACCAGAAAGCAAACGGGAAGGAGUAACGCCUUCUGCCCUUCCUUCAGGCUUGCAUUCUCCCUCCUGUGCUCCCUAGCUUCAGCACCUAUCAGGGAACCCACGGCAAAUGAGCCAGCUGGAAAUGUGAUUUGCAGAGUUGCAGCCCCGGCACCACAGGGCCUCACAAAGUAGAACACAGAAGGGUUCUGCAGGAUAUACACGAAGUAUGGCACCAACAUCUGCUUCUGGUGAAGGCUUCAUGAAGCUUCCACCCAUGACAGAAGGCGAAGAACUGUUGCCAGCAUCAUGCUACAAGCCUGAAGGGAAGGUCUACUGACAGAGAAGGACAGAGACCAGGGAAACACAGAAAAGGAGAGACAAAGCCUUGACAUACCAAACCAGUGCCUGGCCUACCUAUGGACUUCUCAGUUGCAAAGAAUGAUUAGUGCAGCAUGGAGAUUGGAUGUAGAAAAUUCAGUCUUUGGGGGAAUGGAAAGAUAAUGAGGCUUAGAUAAAAG
rnacentral:lncRNA from 10 species